GCCCCCUUAGCUCAGCUGGAAGAGUAGUUGUCUUGUAAACAACAGGUCGUCGGUUCGAACCCGACAGGGGGCUCCA
rnacentral:tRNA from 1 species